UGUUAUAAGUAAACUUGCAAUGGUGAAAUUAAAAUUUACUAUAAAAGUGGGAAAAGUACCCUUUGUCGUUGGAAAACCAAAUUCAAAGGCAGAGACAAAAGUCCACAGAAAAAAAAUAAAUAAAAAAGAACUUCAGAUCAAACAAGCUGUGUCUUGGUGCAAAGAGCACAACAAAGAGGUUAUGCUGCUUUGCAAACUGGUAUGUUUUCUUUUAUCAAAGGUCGAGGCACCAUUGAUUGGAGAUUAUAUGCAAAAACUGCUAAUAUCAAAAAGCAGCAUCUACGAGUUUUGACACCUGAAGAAGAACACUCUAUUGUAGAAUUUAUUUAAAAAAAACAACAGGUGUUAUCAAGGAGUAUCAAGAAAGCAAGUCACUAAUUUAAUUAUUGAUGUUUUAAAAAUUAGAGACUUGCAACACCAAAAGUCAAGGUGGUUUGUCAAUCUAUCUAAUUAUGCAAAACAUGUUGUAAAGACAGGAAAGCUUGGUCAGUCAUUUUGGCAGAGAUGGGAAGCAGAACAUCACAACUUAGUUCUAAAAAGACAAGGAAAUGCACCAUUUAACAUGGCAUUCAACUGUACAAGAGGAAUGGCAGAGUCACAUUUAGAUUCAUUGGCUUAAGAACUUAUUAAAUGUGAUAUUUUCACAAACUCCAUAAAACUUGAACCUGGUGUGUGGAAGGGUGAUAUUGAAGUAAGAAGAAUUUUUAAUUUUGACGAAACACCCCAAUUUAUAAAUUAUGAGAAUGGAAUGAAAUCCGGUCUUCAUAUGUUGCACGUGGAGAAUUUCGCAAAAAAAUGGUUAGGAAGUUUUGUGAAUCAAUAACAAUAUGUUCAGUUGUUUUAUUGGCAGGUGAAAUUGUUGUUUCACAAGUUAUCUUUGCUGGUAAAGGUAUAACUAGUCACAUAGCCCCAAAAACAGCUGUUCAAAUUAUAAAAAAAUUAAUUGUCAUCUACUGAAAAAUAAAGCAAGGAUAACCAUUUAUUAUUGGACUUAUAUAAAAAGUUUGAUAUAUAUUUGUCAGAAGAGAACAUACAGCAACCUCUUGUAAUGCUAGCAGAUAGACACAGUUUAAGAUUUGACUACAAUGUUUUAUAUUUCCUCCAUGAAAAGAAAAUUAACUUGUUUAUAAGUCCUCCUGAUACAACUGGGGUGACUAUUAGAUCAAAGUCCUACAAAAAAAGAAAUGAACUUUUUACAACAUUCCAAACAAUAAAUCGAGGUUUUGUGACAAUUUUAGGAGCAAUGUGGGACAAAUGGGUUUCAAAGGUUACCAUAAUUAAUGCUGCAAAGUAAUUUGGGAUAUCUAAAGAAGGUUUAAAUGUAAAUAAGAUGCACCAUGAUAAAUUUCAACAGGUUGCAAACUGUAUAGCUCAAAUUCAGGACAAGAGUCUUCAGUCAGUUUUGUUCCAAGUAUACCAAAGAAAAUUUGUACAUGUUCAUCAGCAAAUGUUUUGUUACAGGGUUAUUCAUUUUUAUAUGCGCGUCUAUUCAUUUUUAUA